rnacentral:rRNA from 1 species
CCUACGGGGGGCAGCAGUGGGGGAUAUUGCACAAUGGGGGAAACCCUGAUGCAGCGACGCCGCGUGUGGGAAGACGUUCCUCUGGAUUGUAAACCACUGUCCCCAGGGACGAAGAUGACGGUACCUGUGGAGGAAGCUCCGGGUAACUACGUGCCAGCAGCAGCGGUAAUACGUAGGGAGCGAGCGUUGUCCGGAAUUACGGGGUGUAAAGGGAGCGUAGGCGGGGAUGUGAGUUGGGUGUAAAAACUACCGGCUCAACCGGUCGUCGCAUUCAAAACUGCAGCUCUUGAGUGAAGUAGAGGCAGGCGGAAUUCCUAGUGUAGCGGUGAAAUGCGUAGAUAUUAGGAGGAACACCAGUGGCGAAGGCGGCCUGCUGGGCUUUUACUGACGCUGAGGCUCGAAAGUGUGGGGAGCAAACAGGAUUAGAUACCCUUGUAGUC